rnacentral:rRNA from 1 species
GACGAACGCUGGCGGCGCGCCUAACACAUGCAAGUCGAACGAGCGAGAGAGAGCUUGCUUUCUCGAGCGAGUGGCGAACGGGUGAGUAACGCGUGAGGAACCUGCCUCAAAGAGGGGGACAACAGUUGGAAACGACUGCUAAUACCGCAUAAGCCCACGACCCGGCAUCGGGUAGAGGGAAAAGGAGCAAUCCGCUUUGAGAUGGCCUCGCGUCCGAUUAGCUAGUUGGUGAGGUAACGGCCCACCAAGGCGACGAUCGGUAGCCGGACGGAGAGGUGGAACGGCCACUUGGGGAUUGAGACCCGGCCCAGCCUCCCCGGGGAGGGAGGAGGGGGGAAUAUGGGACAGUGGGGGAAACCCUGAGCCAGCGGCGGCGGGGGAGGGAGGAAGUUUUUGGGUUUGUAAACUCUUUUUUUGGGGGAAGAUAAUGACGGUACCCAAAGAGGAAGGGCCGGCUAACUCCGCG